AAUAGAUACCCAGGUAGUCCACGCCGUAAACGAUGGAUGCUAGCUGUUAUCGGUAUCGACCCCGGUAGUAGCGAAGCUAACGCGUUAAGCAUCCCGCCUGUGGAGUACGGUCGCAAGACUAAAACAUAAAGGAAUUGACGGGGACCCGCACAAGCGGUGGAGCGUGUUGUUUAAUUCGAUGGUAAACGAAGAACCUUACCCAGGUUUGACAUCCUUGGAAUUUUUCCGAAAGGAAAAAGUGCUUUAUUGAACCAAGUGACAGGUGUUGCAUGGCCGUCGUCAGCUCGUGUCGUGAGAUGUUUGGUUAAGUCCAUCAACGAGCGCAACCCUUGUGAUUAGUUGAAUUUUUCUAAUCAGACUGCCCUGGCAACAGGGAGGAAGGAGGGGAUGAUGUCAGGUCAGUAUUACCCUUACAUCUGGGGCUACAAACACGCUACAAUGGCCGGUACAAAGGGCAGCCAAGUCGCGAGACGGAGCAAAUCCCAUCAAAGCCGGUCUCAGUUCGGAUAGCAGGCUGAAACUCGCCUGCUUGAAGUCGGAAUCGCU
rnacentral:rRNA from 1 species